ensembl:lncRNA
CCCUCUUAUCUGUUAAAGAUAUUAAGCAAUGAUGGAAUAGGUUCAUAAGAAUAAUUCCUUUAUUUUGAAAAUAAUAUUGUUGUAAAACAAUUUUUUAAAAAAUUAAAUUAAACGAACAUAGACAAAUAAAUAAAAAAAAAAAAAAAAGUGGUGAAAAAAAAAAAAAAAAAUGAUAAGAUAAUGAGUUAUUAUUUUAAAAAAAAAUAUGAACUUGUAUGUCAUUUCUUUUGAAAUAUAGGAAGUGUAACAAUUAUGCCAUAAAAAAAGUUAAAUUUAUUAUUAACCCUCGUAAAUUAAUAAAAAAAACAUAAUAAAAUUAAAACUUUAUUCUAGUAAAUGUAAAAUAAAACAAAAUAAAAUAGAGUCAAACAAAAUAAAGCUAAAUAAAAUAAAAUCCAACAAAAUAAAGCGAAGUAAAAUAAAACCUAACAAAAUAAAGUCCAACAAAAUAAAGUCCAACAAAAUAAAGUCCAGCAAAAUAAAGUCCAACAAAAUAAAGUCCAACAAAAUAAAACAAACUAAACUAAAAAAAACGAAACAAAAUAAGCCGAAUAAAAAUAUGCAAAACAAAAUAAAUCCAAACAAAAUAAAACCAGUAAUUACAUUUUUAUUUUAAUAUUUAUGUAAGUUUUAGUGCAAGAAAGAAAAAAGGAAAUAUUUUUUUUAGAAUUUAAGAAUCAUUUGAUAUUCUUUUAAUAAUUAGCUUCCUUUUUAAUUUUUAAUUUUUUUAUUUUUUAUUAUAAUUGGUUAGCAUAUAAUAAUUAAUAGUAAGUCAUUACUUAGCCCUUAAUUAUUUUUAUAUUUAUUUUCAGACCUUUUAUGACAUGUCAUGCAUUACGCAAACAUGAAGGACCCGUUAGAGUAUAUUAACAAAAUCAACUUCAACACAAAUAAGUUUCCACAAUAUAACCAUUUGAUUGAGAACAGCCCAUAUAACCAAGAUAAAGAUAAAACAAUAAAAAUUUGUCGAUGCUGGCAAUCACAAAAAUUCCCAUAUUGUGAUGAUACACAUAAAGUUCUGAUGGAAAAUGGUGACAGUGUUGGACCAUUUAUCGCAAAAAUAGUUAGUUACAAAGUGUCAGAUGAUGAGAAAUUAAAAAGAAUAAAAUAUAAUGAAAAAUACGUAAAAAUGAAUAAACCAAUGCAGUUACGUGUGAACUCUUUUUUAAAUAUGAAGCAUAGUUAUAUAUCAUUUAGAAAUAAUAAAACAAACAUAAUUAGUAAAUUUAAAAAAUCUCUUUGUUUUUCGUUACUAGUUUUAUCAUAUGCUUUUUUUUACAAUAAAAAGGAAAAACCCAUUAGCUAUUAUUACCCAAAUUGAAAAAAACAAAACAAAAAAACAAAAAAAAAAAGCUAAGAGCAUAAAAACAAAAAAAGUCAUAAACUAAACCAUGACAAACCAAACCAUAUCAAGCAUAUGUAACUUUUUUUUUCCUUUUUUUUUUUUUUUUAUAACUAUAGAUAACAUUAUUAUUCACAUAUGUAUUUUUUAAACAACGCAUGUUACUACUAACUAUUGUAUAUUUUUAAUGCUGCAAUUACAUUUUUUUUUUUUUUUAAGUUAUUAGUUACCACAAUAUAUAGAAAUGGACAUUGCACAAUUAUUGGAUUUUUCCAUAUUUUAUCCCAAAUUAUGUGUACAUGUACAUGCAUAAAUGUAUGCCUAUGUUUUAUUCUGUUGUUCAUACAAUUUAACAUUACUUUUUUUUUUUUUGACAUCCGUGGAUUUUUUUUUGUUUCAAUAUAGUCAUCAUAAU